GCCGCCGUCGUUGGGGAGUAGCCGGCUUCUGUUUUUUCAGAAGCGCACCAGUCAACAUACUCGUUCCGCAGAACGUGGUUGGUGCGACCUGUCAGGUUGGCGAGACCAAAGACACAUGGGCCGGUCAGGUU
rnacentral:sRNA from 2 species